CCGCUCCAUGUUCGUCCCUCCCGAAGCUGCGCGCUCGGUCGAAGAGGACGACCUUCCCCGAUAGAGGCGUGUACCGUUCAUCGGUCAAGGGUAUACGGUAGCUGCGCUCCCCUGCUAGAACCUCCAAACAAGCUCAAGGUCCAUUUGUAGGAGAACGUAGGGUAGGCAAGCUUCCAAGACUGCAGACACAUCCAAGUGAGGCGCUGCAUGGGGCAGUCUGCCAUUGUUU
rnacentral:snRNA from 1 species